GAUGAAGAACGUAGCGAAAUGCGAUAAGUAAUGUGAAUUCCAGAAUUCAGUGAAUCAUCGAAUCUUUGAACGCACAUUGCGCCCCCCGGCAUUCCGGGGGGCAUGCCUGUUCGAGCGUCUCCAGGACGAAUCCUCGCGCGAGUGAACGCGCGGUCGUGGCGGAGGUGGCGUGCCCGAGCAGGGCGGCCACCGCGCUGGAAUCCAUGGGCGGACGCCUGCCGCGUGGCCGAGCGUGAUAUGACGCAUUGGCGCUCGUGCGCGGCGAGGCUGCCAGCCCUGGCCCGUCUGUCGGGCGGGGUAGAUCACCACGUGGGAACUCCUCGAAUCAGGUAGGGAUACCCGCUGAACUUAAGCAUAUCAAUAAGCGGAGGA
rnacentral:misc_RNA from 1 species